rnacentral:rRNA from 1 species
AACGAACGCUGGCGGCAUGCCUAACACAUGCAAGUCGAACGAGACCUUCGGGUCUAGUGGCGCACGGGUGCGUCACGCGUGGGAACCUGCCCUUAGGUUCGGAAUAACUCCCCGACAGGGGUGCUAAUACCGGAUAAUGUCUUCGGACCAAAGAUUUAUCGCCCUUGGAUGGGCCCGCGUUGGAUUAGCUAGUUGGUAGGGUAAAAGCCUACCAAGGCGACGAUCCAUAGCUGGUCUGAGAGGAUGAUCAGCCACACUGGGACUGAGACACGGCCCAGACUCCUACGGGAGGCAGCAGUGGGGAAUAUUGGACAAUGGGCGAAAGCCUGAUCCAGCAAUGCCGCGUGAGUGAUGAAGGCCUUAGGGUUGUAAAGCUCUUUUACCCGGGAUGAUAAUGACAGUACCGGGAGAAUAAGCGCCGGCUAACUCCGUG